rnacentral:rRNA from 1 species
CUUAAAGUAAGACCUGCUCAAUGAUAUUUAAAUAGCCGCAGUUCAACUGUGCUAAGGUAGCAUAAUAACUUGCUUCUUAAUUAGAAGAUAGAAUGAAAGGUCACACACUAAAAUUAUGUUUCUUUUAUACUAAAUUAAAUUAAAACAAGAGUCAAAAUUCUUUUAAAUAUAUAGCGGGACGACAAGACCCUAACAAACUUAUUAUUUAGUUGGGGAAACAAAUUAAAAAAACUUUAACUCAAUAAAUUACACAACUUUAAGAUUAAAUAAAGUCUAGUUACUGUAGGGAUAACAGCGUUAUUUCUUUUAAGAGACCUUAUCUAAAAAGAAGAUUACGACCUCGAUGUUGAAUUAAUCAACCUAUAAUACGCAACAGUUUAUAAUAAGGUAGUCUGGUUUCUAUCUGCUAUACUCUUAAGUAAACAGUACGAAAGGACCUUAACUUAUGAUAAAAU